UACAGAGGGGGCAAGCGUUAUUCGGAAUUAUUGGGCGUAAAGGGCGCGUAGGCGGUUCUUCAAGUCUCUCGUGAAAUCCCUCGGCUUAACUGAGGACGUGCGGGAGAUACUGAAGGGCUUGAGUCCGGAAGAGGGUGGUGGAAUUCCCAGUGUAGCGGUGAAAUGCGUGGAUAUUGGGAGGAACACCGGUGGCGAAGGCGGCCACCUGGGCGGGAACUGACGUUGAGGCGCGAAAGCGUGGGAGCAAACGGG
rnacentral:rRNA from 1 species